AAUCUAAGCGGAGCAGGUGAAUCGCGCCUCGGUGCUGUCCUCGACCCCGCUGCUGUUCAGGUCCACGUCCACAAGCACCUGUCCUCCCAAAACUCCCGACCUUGUGCGGCUCCCCGCCCGGAACGCCCACUUUUUACGGUCACCUGUGAAGCCCUAACAACAGAGGACACACCUGAUGUGGGUGGUGGAUGAGAGUUUCUUGGGCGUGUGGAAACCAGGGCCACACCGGCCGAACCAGUCAGACUUGAUGGUCUGCUCCUUUCCGACCUGCAGGUACAGACCCUGACAUUCAGGCCGACUGUCGUGGCAGAGCAUUCCAGCAGGGUGUUGACUGGGAGGCUGAUUCAGGCUGGAGCAUCUAGCUGGACUGGUACUGGGACAUUCUGAUCGUGGGUAAAGGUGUGGUUCAGUGAGAGACCGAUCCACGGCCUGGGCUGCAACAGGCAGCAAUAAAGUUCACUUUACUCUGAGCUCAAUUGGCCUGACUGCUAUUUUAAUUCCUGUGUGAGGAAUGACAGAGUAACUCCAAUUAUGCCCAUCACCAGUGACACAAUCCUCAUGGGCCACUGGGCACCAGUAGAGGGAAAGUCCUGAACUGACAGACUUAAAGUAGAGAUGAACUCAGAAUGGAGUUGAGUCCAGACUGACACUAUGUCCAAGGUGGUGUGAUGUUUAUAAGGCGUGAGUACUGAGUAGCGCUUCAUUUGCUUUUCCAACUGACGAGGGUGAUUCUCUUUGUGAGAAGUAGGCGUGAAGUGUUCAUAUCUAGAAGCUGAAGAUUUCCUGAAAAGCAAAUUGUAGCGGUCACUCAUUAAAUCCUUCUGUGGGUGGUCGUGAUUGUAUAGAAUACAAAUAUCGAGUAUUUUUAAUUUUGCUUUCAGGCUCUUUUAACUGUCAUUCAUGUAAUUUGUCCAUUUGUCCAUGAUACCCUUCUGUUUUUAUAGAGUUGUAACAACCAGAAAAAAAUGUGGGUGAGA